rnacentral:lncRNA from 1 species
AAUCGUCAAUGCGACGUCCUCCUACUCCCACCUCAGAGCUGUCACAGAGACUGUCAGUUCCGUCCCUCCCCUUCAGCCCUUUAACGCACGUCUUCCCGACCGCAUAACUUGCUCAGUCCCUGCGGCCAACUGGGGCGGGCCAAUGGCUGUGACGGAUAAGGGGUGUGGGGUGCGGGGACAAUGGGCCAGAGCUUCUCAUGCAGCCUGCACCAGCGCCGGGUCGGAGAGUCAGAGGCCACCCUGAGAUGGACCGAGAUCUUCAGUUGGGGAGGCGCCUCCGGUGAGCUUGCGGCCAGAUGCCCCCUCAGUAGUCCUCCGCAACAGGUGCCGCGCAGCCGAGUGGCGGGCUAGCAUACCGCCUGCCCGCAAUUCGGCCAGGCCUCGAGCCUGCUCCGCCUUCCCGCUGCGGUAGCGCCGCCGGGGAAACGCCGCCACGGGCUGCAUGGGCAGCGCUCGCGCCCCGCCGCUGAGCCGCCGGGGAGCCGUCCAGUCUUCGAAUCCCAGCUUGGUGGCAUGCAUGUUUAGUCCCAGCUACACAGCAGGGAGGCUGAGGCUGAAGGAAUACUUGAGCCCAGGAAUUCAAGACUAGCCUGCACAACAUAGUGAGACCCUGACUUUAAAAUAAAUUUAAAAAAAUUAAAAGCAACAAGACUUUCUGCUUGUAUAUGAUGAUGUUAGUAUGCUGACUUACAAGGUUAGAUCAUUUUGAUAUGUGUGAUGUAGGUUUUCAAAGCUGGCACUGUUUUAUGCUUCAAAUAUUAUUUUUAUUCAUUGGUUCUCAUGGGAUUUCAUCACUAAGCUGUAAAUCAAUAAUCAUAAUGUUGAGGGGAGGGGAUUACAAAAUAGCUCUUCAAAAUCAUCUUUGCAUUUCUCAAUAAACAGCAUUCCCUUUUGAAAAAAA